GCUAACCGUUAAGCGUUCGUUAGGAAUUGAAGCCUAACGUUCUCCGCAUCCAGACAUGCUGGAUCCCGGGUGGUGCCUAGCCACCCUGUUUGACGCCUCCCUGUUUGACUUCUGAGCCGCCGCAAGGCGGCUCAUUUUUU
rnacentral:sRNA from 1 species